GGGCGAGUAACUCAGCGGUAAGAGUGGGGUUCUUAUAAAGCUCUGGUCGCAGGUUCAAUCCCUGCCUCGCCCACCA
rnacentral:tRNA from 1 species